rnacentral:rRNA from 1 species
UUUGGUUAAGUUAGAAAGGGCGCACGGUGGAUGCCUUGACACUAGGAGUCGAUGAAGGACGGGACUAACGCCGAUAUGCUUCGGGGAGCUGUAAGUAAGCUUUGAUCCGAAGAUUUCCGAAUGGGGAAACCCACCAUACGUAAUGGUAUGGUAUCCUUAUCUGAAUACAUAGGGUAAGGAAGACAGACCCAGGGAACUGAAACAUCUAAGUACCUGGAGGAAGAGAAAGCAAAUGCGAUUUCCUGAGUAGCGGCGAGCGAAACGGAACAUAGCCCAAACCAAGAGGCUUGCCUCUUGGGGUUGUAGGACAUUCUAUACGGAGUUACAAAGGAACGAGGUAGACGAAGCGACCUGGAAAGGUCCGUCGUAGAGGGUAACAACCCCGUAGUCGAAACUUCGUUCUCUCUUGAAUGUAUCCUGAGUACGGCGGAACACGUGAAAUUCCGUCGGAAUCUGGGAGGACCAUCUCCCAAGGCUAAAUACUCCCUAGUGAUCGAUAGUGAACCAGUACCGUGAGGGAAAGGUGAAAAGCACCCCGGAAGGGGAGUGAAAGAGAUCCUGAAACCGUGUGCCUACAAAUAGUCAGAGCCCGUUAACGGGUGAUGGCGUGCCUUUUGUAGAAUGAACCGGCGAGUUACGAUCCCGUGCGAGGUUAAGCUGAAGAGGCGGAGCCGCAGCGAAAGCGAGUCUGAAUAGGGCGUUUAGUACGUGGUCGUAGACCCGAAACCAGGUGAUCUACCCAUGUCCAGGGUGAAGUUCAGGUAACACUGAAUGGAGGCCCGAACCCACGCACGUUGAAAAGUGCGGGGAUGAGGUGUGGGUAGCGGAGAAAUUCCAAUCGAACCUGGAGAUAGCUGGUUCUCCCCGAAAUAGCUUUAGGGCUAGCCUUAAGUGUAAGAGUCUUGGAGGUAGAGCACUGAUUGGACUAGGGGUCCUCAUCGGAUUACCGAAUUCAGUCAAACUCCGAAUGCCAAUGACUUAUCCUUAGGAGUCAGACUGCGAGUGAUAAGAUCCGUAGUCAAAAGGGAAACAGCCCAGACCGCCAGCUAAGGUCCCAAAGUGUGUAUUAAGUGGAAAAGGAUGUGGAGUUGCUUAGACAACUAGGAUGUUGGCUUAGAAGCAGCCACCAUUUAAAGAGUGCGUAAUAGCUCACUAGUCGAGUGACUCUGCGCCGAAAAUGUACCGGGGCUAAAUACACCACCGAAGCUGCGGAUUGAUACCAAUGGUAUCAGUGGUAGGGGAGCGUUCUAAGGACAGUGAAGUCAGACCGGAAGGACUGGUGGAGUGCUUAGAAGUGAGAAUGCCGGUAUGAGUAGCGAAAGACGGGUGAGAAUCCCGUCCACCGAAUGCCUAAGGUUUCCUGAGGAAGGCUCGUCCGCUCAGGGUUAGUCAGGACCUAAGCCGAGGCCGACAGGCGUAGGCGAUGGACAACAGGUUGAUAUUCCUGUACCACCUCUUUAUCGUUUGAGCAAUGGAGGGACGAGAAGGAUAGAAGAAGCGUGCGAUUGGUUGUGCACGUCCAAGCAGUUAGGCUGAUAAGUAGGCAAAUCCGCUUAUCGUAAAGGCUGAGCUGUGAUGGGGAAGCUCCUUAUGGAGCGAAGUCUUUGAUUCCCCGCUGCCAAGAAAAGCUUCUAGCGAGAUAAAAGGUGCCUGUACCGCAAACCGACACAGGUAGGCGAGGAGAGAAUCCUAAGGUGUGCGAGAGAACUCUGGUUAAGGAACUCGGCAAAAUGACCCCGUAACUUCGGGAGAAGGGGUGCUUUCUUAACGGAAAGCCGCAGUGAAUAGGCCCAAGCGACUGUUUAGCAAAAACACAGCUCUCUGCGAAGCCGUAAGGCGAAGUAUAGGGGGUGACACCUGCCCGGUGCUGGAAGGUUAAGGAGAGGGGUUAGCGUAAGCGAAGCUCUGAACUGAAGCCCCAGUAAACGGCGGCCGUAACUAUAACGGUCCUAAGGUAGCGAAAUUCCUUGUCGGGUAAGUUCCGACCCGCACGAAAGGUGUAACGAUUUGGGCACUGUCUCAACCAGAGACUCGGUGAAAUUAUAGUACCUGUGAAGAUGCAGGUUACCCGCGACAGGACGGAAAGACCCCGUGGAGCUUUACUGUAGCCUGAUAUUGAAUUUUGGUACAGUUUGUACAGGAUAGGCGGGAGCCAUUGAAACCGGAGCGCUAGCUUCGGUGGAGGCGCUGGUGGGAUACCGCCCUGACUGUAUUGAAAUUCUAACCUACGGGUCUUAUCGACCCGGGAGACAGUGUCAGGUGGGCAGUUUGACUGGGGCGGUCGCCUCCUAAAGUGUAACGGAGGCGCCCAAAGGUUCCCUCAGAAUGGUUGGAAAUCAUUCGUAGAGUGCAAAGGCAUAAGGGAGCUUGACUGCGAGACCUACAAGUCGAGCAGGGACGAAAGUCGGGCUUAGUGAUCCGGUGGUUCCGCAUGGAAGGGCCAUCGCUCAACGGAUAAAAGCUACCCCGGGGAUAACAGGCUUAUCUCCCCCAAGAGUCCACAUCGACGGGGAGGUUUGGCACCUCGAUGUCGGCUCAUCGCAUCCUGGGGCUGUAGUCGGUCCCAAGGGUUGGGCUGUUCGCCCAUUAAAGCGGUACGCGAGCUGGGUUCAGAACGUCGUGAGACAGUUCGGUCCCUAUCCGUCGUGGGCGUAGGAAAUUUGAGAGGAGCUGUCCUUAGUACGAGAGGACCGGGAUGGACGCACCGCUGGUGUACCAGUUGUUCUGCCAAGGGCAUAGCUGGGUAGCUAUGUGCGGAAGGGAUAAGUGCUGAAAGCAUCUAAGCAUGAAGCCCCCCUCAAGAUGAGAUUUCCCAUAGCGUAAGCUAGUAAGAUCCCUGAAAGAUGAUCAGGUUGAUAGGUUCGAGGUGGAAGCAUGGUGACAUGUGGAGCUGACGAAUACUAAUAGAUCGAGGACUUAACCAUAUAA